CACGUAGGGUGCGAGCGUUGUCCGGAAUUAUUGGGCGUAAAGAGCUCGUAGGCGGUCUGUUGCGUCGGCUGUGAAAACCCGGGGCUCAACCCCGGGCCUGCAGCCGAUACGGGCAGACUAGAGUUCGGCAGGGGAGACUGGAAUUCCUGGUGUAGCGGUGAAAUGCGCAGAUAUCAGGAGGAACACCGAUGGCGAAGGCAGGUCUCUGGGCAUUAACUGACGCUGAGGAGCGAAAGCAUGGGGAGCGAACAGG
rnacentral:rRNA from 1 species